CCAAGGAGUCUAACAUGUGUGCGAGUCGUAGGGUGCGUACGAAACCCGAAGGCAAAGUGAAAGCACGGGCCGAUUCAUUGGCCGAGGCGGGAUCCGUCCGUUUCCCCUCGUGGGAAUACGGGCGGCGCACCGCCGGCCCGUCUMGACCGCAGCGUCGGUGAGGCGGAGCAAGAGCASACACGUUGGGACCCGAAAGAUGGUGAACUAUUCCUAGGCAGGACGAAGCCAGAGGAAACUCUGGUGGAGGUCCGUAGCGUUUCUGACGUGCAAAUCGAUCGUCAGACCUGGGUAUAGGGGCGAAAGACUAAUCGAACCAUCUA
rnacentral:rRNA from 1 species